rnacentral:lncRNA from 1 species
CUGCCAUCAGCUCAGGCAGAUUUCUAAGCAGCAAAUCAGCCUUUGCCAGAACACUGCAGGACACCAGUGCAGCGCCCAGCCUGCGACCAUGAGAUCUUCUGGGCUUAGUGGCUGAAGACUGACACUGCCCGAUCACCUGAGAAGCCUCCUGGACCAUCACAGAUGCUUUAG